UAUGUCAUCAAAAAAUAAUUA
rnacentral:piRNA from 1 species